GCAGGCCUAACACAUGCAAGUCGAGCGGAUGAGAAGAGCUUGCUCUUCGAUUCAGCGGCGGACGGGUGAGUAAUGCCUAGGAAUCUGCCUGGUAGUGGGGGACAACGUUUCGAAAGGAACGCUAAUACCGCAUACGUCCUACGGGAGAAAGCAGGGGACCUUCGGGCCUUGCGCUAUCAGAUGAGCCUAGGUCGGAUUAGCUAGUUGGUGAGGUAAUGGCUCACCAAGGCGACGAUCCGUAACUGGUCUGAGAGGAUGAUCAGUCACACUGGAACUGAGACACGGUCCAGACUCCUACGGGAGGCAGCAGUGGGGAAUAUUGGACAAUGGGCGAAAGCCUGAUCCAGCCAUGCCGCGUGUGUGAAGAAGGUCUUCGGAUUGUAAAGCACUUUAAGUUGGGAGGAAGGGCAUUAACCUAAUACGUUAGUGUUUUGACGUUACCGACAGAAUAAGCACCGGCUAACUCUGUGCCAGCAGCCGCGGUAAUACAGAGGGUGCAAGCGUUAAUCGGAAUUACUGGGCGUAAAGCGCGCGUAGGUGGUUUGUUAAGUUGGAUGUGAAAGCCCCGGGCUCAACCUGGGAACUGCAUCCAAAACUGGCAAGCUAGAGUACGGUAGAGGGUUGGUGGAAUUUCCUGUGUAGCGGUGAAAUGCGUAGAUAUAGGGAAGGAACACCAGUGGCGAAGG
rnacentral:rRNA from 1 species